rnacentral:rRNA from 1 species
UACGAAGGGGGCGAGCGUUGUUCGGAUUUACUGGGCGUAAAGGGCGCGCAGGCGGCUCUGCAAGUCAGGCGUGAAAGCCCCGGGCUUAACCUGGGAACUGCGUCUGGGACUGUGGGGCUAGAGAUCGGGAGAGGAGAGUGGAAUUCCCAGUGUAGAGGUGAAAUUCGUAGAUAUUGGGAAGAACACCAGUGGCGAAGGCGGCUCACUGGCCCGGUACUGACGCUGAGGUGCGAAAGCGUGGGGAGCAACAGGG